rnacentral:rRNA from 11 species
GUCCUCAAGUCUGGCUCCUAAUGGCACCAGAUCCUAUCUGAUCUGGGAAGCUAAGCAGGGUCAGCCCUGGUUAGUACUUGGAGGGGAGAUGACCAACAAACACCAGGUCUUGGUAUUU